GAUGAAGAACGUAGCGAAAUGCGAUAAGUAAUGCGAAUUGCAGAAUUCAGUGAAUCAUCGAAUCUUUGAACGCACAUUGCGCCCGCUAGUAUUCUGGCGGGCAUGCCUGUCUGAGCGUCAUUUCAACCCUCGCCCCCGGCUUUUGCUGGGAGCGGUGUUGGGGAUCGGCCGCCCGUCACUGGGAGGCCGGCCCCGAAAUAGAGUGGCGACCACGCCGUGUGCUCCUCUGCGUAGUAGUAAAUCACCUCGCAGGCGGACAGCGGUUCGGCCUGCCGUAAAACCCCCAACUCUUUCUGGUUGACCUCAGAUCAGGUAGGAAUACCCGCUGAACUUAAGCAUAUCAAUAAGCGGAGGA
rnacentral:misc_RNA from 1 species